CGAAGUCCUUUUUGCCCUAGCCGAUAGGUCUCUAGACGUUACAGAGAACCCCGAACAACCCAAACUGUUAAUCUUUAAUACCGCUUUGUACUUACGAUCUUAUAUCCACUGACUGUCUUGUUAGAUUAACCCAAUAAAUUUCAUUCACUCCCCAUACUCAAUCCUAUAGACACCCUUUUAAUCCUUCAAUCACAGACGUAACUCAAUUUCACAAAACAGUCAAGAGUAUUCAAACCUACUUCAUU
rnacentral:lncRNA from 1 species